rnacentral:tRNA from 2 species
GCCUCGGUAGCUCAGGGGAUAGAGCAGCGGCCUUCUAAUCCGCUGGUCGGGGGUUCGAAUCCCCCCCGGGGCA